GACGAACGCUGGCGGCGUGCUUAACACAUGCAAGUCGAACGGAAAGGCCCUGCUUUUGUGGGGUGCUCGAGUGGCGAACGGGUGAGUAACUCGUGAGUAACCUGCCCUUGACUUUGGGAUAACUUCAGGAAACUGGGGCUAAUACCGGAUAGGAGCUCCUGCUGCAUGGUGGGGGUUGGAAAGUUUCGGCGGUUGGGGAUGGACUCGCGGCUUAUCAGCUUGUUGGUGGGGGAGGGGCUUACCAAGGCUUUGACGGGUAGCCGGCCUGAGAGGGUGACCGGCCACCUUGGGACUGAGAUACGGCCCAGACUGCUACGGGCGGCAGCAGUGGGGAAUAUUGCACAAUGGGCGGACGCCUGAUGCAGCAACCCCGCGUGCGUGAUGACGGCCUUCGGGUUGUAAACCGCUUUCGCCUGUGACGAAGCGUGAGUGACGGUAAUGGGUAAAGAAGCACCGGCUAACUACGUG
rnacentral:rRNA from 1 species